AGAUGUUUUGGCUAUUCUUUUUAGCCAUCCUCAGUGACAAUUGAUAACUUACUUGUUUUCUUAUUAAAUGUGCAUCUUUCGCAGUUGCAGUGGGCGAGGAAAUAAUUCUCAAUACAUCCAAUUGCAGUCCAUAUGCAGUUGAAGGGUUGCAUGGUCAAACUGUAUAUCCUCAAAGAGUGAUGGUAAAAAGAUCUGUUUAUUCGCCCAUUUUUUGGAUCUCAAAUUUCAAACUUUUUUUAUGCCAAAUAGUAUGCCAAAUAUUAUACGAUGUAACAUUAAUCCUAGAGAAAUUUUAAGAUGAGCAUAGACACGGUUCCGGAGAUAUGAAGGGGUGAAAGUGAUGGUUUCUCAUAACCCAUAAAAGUACACGAAACUCUUCAAGUGUCAUACCAAGCAUGAAAAUUCCCCGAGAUAAAUGGAGUUGAAGUGACACUUGACGCCGCCUCUCACGGAUCGGGAUACUUUUCUACUGUGAGUCCUUUUGCCUCUCACAGAGUAUAGGAUGCUUUUUUAAUGUGAGUCCCCUUGCCUCUCACAGAUUGGGGUGUUUUUUAAAUGUGAGUCCCCUGAGGCAUUGCUUUAUUGAAGAAUCAACGAUCGUCAAGAUAUGAAAAAAUAUUUUUCAAUUUGAAUAUUUCCUCGGUAAUUGAAUUGCUUCAAAGACUUGGUCAAUAAUUAAUACGGAAUGUAUUUUCAGGGUGCUUUAUAAAGCAUGGCCCCUUAUAAAUGAAAUAGCGGUGAAUAAUAGAUCGGUCUCUGAACAAUGAAUCGUAGAUGAUCCAUUUGACAGAAUAUACCUUCAAUGUUACCAAUGAACUUCAGCCACGCAUUCUUCCUUAUGUAAUACACUUUGACUGGAAAUCAUCACUUUCACCCCCUUGAAUCUCUGGAAUCAUACCUAUGCUCAUCUUGGAAUUUUACUAUGGGAUUAAUGUUUCAUUUAAUAGUACUAUUUGCCAUUAAAAAAGUUUGAAAUUCGAGAUCCAAAAAAUGGGCAAAAUUUGCCAUCACUUUUUGAUGUAAAAAUGAAGCAGAAAAAUAGUCAACUAAGAAUUCCAAUUAAAUUCGUGAUUACGAUACAGUCUGUGGUCGGUUAUGACCGAAUGAGAAUUAGUAUUUCUAUUAAUGUCAUUAUAUUCUACGGUUCUGCGAGACUAAGUAUCUUUUUGUUUGCCCUACGUAGCAAGCAUCGCAAUCGUUACAUGAAAUUUUGUAGACUACAUUUUUCUUUAAGCGAUUAGGUAAAGAAUUUUUGUGGACUUUAAUAAAGCUUCUUAGUUUAUUAAUUCUGUAAAAUAUAUAGCUUUGCAUCGUUGUCUUUAAUAGUAUUUUUAAAUUUAUCUGAGACAUUUUUUACAUAAGGAAUUGUAAAUCAAUUAAUCCUUUCCUCGGUUGUUGUAUCACUUGUGUUUAUUUAUUUAAUAAGAUCCUGAUUCUCGUUGAUAUUGUUUAAAAAUUAAAUUUCAACGAGUAAUCAUUCUAAAGUAGUAUAUUUACUAUAUUAACUAUAUACUAUAAAUUCUUUUGGUGAAAUUCUGGAUGAGAGAGAAGAAAGACUAUUGACUAAACCCAUGAUCGUGCUCCUUUUUUGAGAGUUCUUCAACUGCAUGAACAGCAAUUCAUGGAUAAUAUGGAUAUAUUGAGAACUGCUUUCUCGUUCAACAACUGUGGAAGGAUGCACAUUUAAUAAGAAAACGAGCGAGAGUUAGCAAUUGUCACUGAGGAUGGCUAAAAAGAAUAGCCGAAACGUCUGA